CUCGGGCCUCGUGUCCUGGUCCAAUGGUGGAGAAGAAAUUCACAAAUCCUGGCGUUCAAGCCUAUCCUGUAAGGCUGCGUCCGUGUGGACCAGACAAAUGUAGGGCCAUCCCACUGUCAGCCUGUGUCUACAUCCGAGAACGAUCCUGGGCACCUCAUCCCCAUAGUUUUAGCACCAUCCAUUUCAAAGUGGAGCACAAGCUUCACAUAACUGACCUAGUGAGGGCCUGGUGACUGCCUCUCUAAUCGACCUGAAUAAACCAGGUUAUUUGAACCUUGGCGCUCACCACACGACAAAAACAUUUCCAUCUGUACCCAGCAGAGAGGGGCAGAGGAUCGACAAGACAAGGAAUUUCAUGUUUACGUAAUUCCAAAGCAAAGGGUCUUGCUUCCAAAAUGCUUACUCCGUUGCCCAAAUUCGAACAGCUCUUUGACUAUCAUGAUAAAACAAAAUGGAACCCGUGAGCAUUUCAUUACAAAGUCGCAAAGUCUACAGUAUCCGUUCCAUUUUUACUUCUACCGGUACCUUCUUUAUAAAGGAAGAUUCAUCUUUUCGGGGGCAGAGAUGAAGUGUGGUUCCUUCUGAUUAAGGAUUGGAAGACAGAGAGCUUGCAGUUAAAGAUCAUCAAAUCAACAAAGUCAGCAUUGAGGAAUUGUUCCGGCCACAUCAACAGUCAAUGUUGAAGCCUCGUUCUACCCCAAAAUGAAACCAGGGAAGUAUAGGAAGGAGAGAGGGUUUUAUAGAGAAAAUGUUGUGUUGUUGAGUCCCCUCUGCCCACUCACCCACCCAAAUAUUUCUUUCUUUCUUUCUCCUCAAGCAUAAAAUGAAUUUCAUUGGCACCGGCGAGCUAAAAAGGUGUUCCCUGUUGUUAGAAAGUCAAGAACCACAUCAACAUUUUCGCCUGGACUGUUCUGUAAAAGACUAUCAACUAACAAAGAAUGAACCAAAAAAUAAAGUUUCCAUUCAGGAACCAAGGAAGAUAACAACCUAACCCCUAGGCAAACCAUUUGAAAAGAUGAGCUUCAAGUAAACUUGAGCUGGAAACUUGAUAAUGCUGUUAUGGUUGUACCCGCUGCCGCUAGCAGUGAUCAACACGGAUUAGUAUCCAGACCAAGUAGAGGCCGUGGGGAUGAAACAGGUUUUCAGCAGAUCCUUUGGAGUGACAGGAAGCUGGAGCAGAGGAAUUCUGCAUUGCUAGCGCCUAAGUGUGGUGACCUGCCUGCAAGACACGCUGGUACAAUAGUAGCACAAAAGCUGUGGGAGUGACCAACCACUGUCUGAUUGGAUUGAAGGCCCACUCCAUGAGAGGGAACCUAUGCCCUACACUGCCCAGACGGCCAAAAACCUGAGAUGAGAUACACCGUGGACCUAGGAAAAACCAAAUACUAUUGUUCUGCUGAAGAUACAUAGCAAUAAAAUGACUCCUGAAAGCA